UGCAUGUCUCAGUAUAAGUCAUUUUACGACGAAACUGCGAAUGGCUCAUUAAAACAGUUAUAGUUUCUUUGCUGGUCAAUCGUUAUACGGAUAACUGUGGUAAUUCUAGAGCUAAUACGUGCACAAAGACCCGACUUCACGGAAGGGUUGCAUUCAUUAGAUACAGAACCAUCCCCUUCGGGGUUUUGGAUGAUCCAUAAUGAAUGAGCGGAGCGCAUGGCUUGUGUCGGCGCUGUAGCAUUCAAGUUUCCGACCUAUCAGCUUUCGACGGUAGGGUAUUGGCCUACCGUGGCAUUGACGGGUAACGGAGAAUUAGGGUUCGAUUCCGGAGAGGGAGCCCGAGAAACGGCUACCACAUCUAAGGAAGGCAGCAGGCGCGCAAAUUACCCAAUUUUGACACAGGGAGGUAGUGACAAGAAAUAACAGUGCUGUUCUCUUUGAGAAUAUGCAUCUGGAAUGAUUUGCAUGUAAAUAUCGCUUGGACUAUCAAUUGGAGGGCAAGUCUGGUGCCAGCAGCCGCGGUAAUUCCAGCUCCAUUAGUGUAUAUUAAAGUUGUUGCGGUUAAAAAGCUCGUAGUUGGAUUUCUGUUGGGUAUCGCGUGGUCUGCUCCUCGAGUACGUAUCUGCGUCGAUCCUGGCAUCCUCGCAACGCUCUGUGGCAUUAAUUUGCUGCUUGGCUUGCGACUUCUACUUUGAGGAAAUUAGAGUGUUCACGGCAGGCAUUUGCUUUGAAUAUAUAGCAUGGAAUAAUAACAUAGGACUUCGGUUUUAUUUUGUUGGUUUCUAAGGCUGAAGUAAUGAUUAAUAGGGACAAUUGGGGGCACUCGUAC
rnacentral:rRNA from 1 species